AAAAAAGCUGUUACAAGUUAAAUGUUUAGCGCUCACAUAGUCGUUGAUUAUUCGGCAUUAUUUGUUGGUAGUGUCUUUUCUGUUAUCAACCUAUUACAUUGCUGUGUGACGUUUUUUUUAGUUCUCUCUUCAAAGACACCGAAAAAUGUCCCCCGAGGGGAGCUACGCAAUGCAUAAUGCACGGAGAGAAGAUUACGCCACGGUAUGCCUCAAAGCCAAUCCUGAGAAACGCUUUGAGGAGUAAGGCGAGUUCCUCGUAUACCAGGCCUCCCAUCACAGAGUAACUCAGAUGAGCAUUCUCCAGGCGCCUUGGGUCAGGAUUAACGAGCCUGCAAAUCUGGCAGGGGAAGCCAUUCAAAUAUGGUACACAUCCUGAAAAGGCAUGAAUAGAGGCAUUCCCCCACCACAGAAUGAAAAUAAUACAGGUAUGUGCAUUUAACACACUCUAUUAAUGCCAUAAAAUGUCACAUGGAGGGGUGGCCCACAGUCCAGAAAUGCCGCCCAAUAUCAGCAUCAC